rnacentral:piRNA from 1 species
UGCAGAGUCCAGAAUCAUCCUUGUGU